CUCAGAGGCAUGCCAACAGUGGGGCUUGGUCACCGCUAUAUCCGAAGACAUCCGAGACAGAAGAAACGAAGGUGCCUUUUGAUUCAAAUUCUUAAUAUUGGGAAGGCAGUGAGCAGAAAUAAGAAAACAAGUGAAAUAUAUCCAAACGACAACUUUGGUAAAAGUGAAUUUAUUUGGAACAAAGAAGAAUACUGCAUUGAUAAUUCGGACCACGCCUCCACUGGAGUCUCACAGUUUAAGGUUGUAGAGGGUAGGGAUUUCCCACCAUUUCCAGCAUUACUUAAGGACCCACCCGCCGACGCAAAGCCAGGAGACUGGAGGGAGAAGAUUGCUGCCUCUUGGCCUUCGAUUCAAAAUGCACUGCAUUCGGCUAAGAUGGAUUACAAAAAACAUGCGGAUAAAAAGAAAGCAGCACACCUGGACUUUAAGGGUCAUCUUCGCGGAGGGAGGAGUCAUGUCAGGAUGUGAUCGCCCAGCAUUCACACUAGCUGAACUAUUUCCAUCCUGCCAAAAGCAAUUGGGGUGGAGAUAACCUAAAUGAUAAGAACCAUCUGGCUAGGAGGAUUGAUUUAUGGCCAUGAUCUGGUUUUCAAACCUGGGAAAGGACUAUCGACAGACAAGUGUGAAUGUGGAAGGGGGCUGGGGGGGAGUAGUAGGAUAUACUAGGGUCCGGGCGGAAGUUGAUUAGUAACAGCUUUGUGCUCGUCUUGGCAAGAAGGUUUUCAAUAAAGCGUUUCCAUGGAACUACCU
rnacentral:lncRNA from 11 species